rnacentral:rRNA from 1 species
AGUGAACGCUGGCGGCAGGCCUAACACAUGCAAGUCGAGCGGCAGCGCGGGGGCAACCCUGGCGGCGAGCGGCGGACGGGUGAGGAAUUCGUCGGAAUCUGCCUUUUUGUGGGGGAUAACGUAGGGAAACUUACGCUAAUACCGCAUACGUCCUACGGGAGAAAGUGGGGGACCGCAAGGCCUCACGCAGAAAGAUGAGCCGACGACCGAUUAGCUAGUUGGUGGGGUAAAGGCCCACCAAGGCGACGAUCGGUAGCUGGUCUGAGAGGAUGAUCAGCCACACUGGGACUGAGACACGGCCCAGACUCCUACGGGAGGAAGCAGUGGGGAAUAUUGGACAAUGGGCGCAAGCCUGAUCCAGCCAUGCCGAGUGUGGGAAGAAGGCCUUCGGGUUGUAAAGCACUUUUGUCCGGAAAGAAAUCCCUGGAGCUAAUACCUUCGGGGGAUGACGGUACCGGAAGAAUAAGCACCGGCUAACUUCGUG